GCCGCGAUGGUCUAGUGGUAUGAUUCUCGCUUAGGGCUCACCCUGAGUUGCAGCAUUUGGUGGCCGUCGGCCCCAUCUACUCAAUAAUUUGCGAGAGGUCCCGGGUUCAAUCCCCGGUUGCGGCC